UCAUGGAGGGGAGGGGUGGGGAGGGGACCCAACAGGUGGCCGCCUCUCCUGGCCUUCUGGAGGGAGUCCCUAGGCUGGGACAGCAGCUUCCUCCCGAGGCCGGAGUGCUGCUCGUUCACUGUUUCACCGGCAGUCCUGCUUCCAAGCAGUUCCUGUGGUCCAGGCCUUGUGCUGUGGACCCAGCGCUUGGCUUCCUGGAGUCUAGACUCCAGUGCACGGAGACAGGCCUGGACCACUGAACUCUGGGACCGGGAUUAGGGUUAUGGAGGAGAGCACAGAAGCCUGGAAGGGUGCUUGACGUCUUCCGGGGGCCAGGGAGGAUGUUUCUGGACAAGUGACCCUAGGCUGCGGGGUGGUGGGAGAGGUGUGAGCACGCAGAGGCCCUCGGCGGGGGCUGCAGGAGACCCACACGGAUCAGGAAGGUUUGGGGGCUGGAGCAGCGAGAGGAAGGGGAGCACGGUAUGAGAAGGGUUGGGGGGGUUAUAUUUGAGAAGCCCCCUUCACGGGUGUGUGGGCUGCAGCUACUCGACCAGUGUGUGGCUGACGGGGCUGUCUCUGCACCCCUGCUGUGGCCCGCGGUCCCAGCCCAUUGCGACAUGGCCUUUUCACAGAGGAGGCUUCGGGGGCGGGGGUGGGGUUCAGCUCAGCCUCCUGGCAUCGCAGGGAGGUCUCAGACUGGGUGGAGAUGCGUCGGGAUCAAGAAUUCAUCCUGCUGCAGUUAGAGCCCGCAUGCGCUGCCUGCUUGCUUCUGGGGACUUCACAAGCCGGGUCUUGGGAGGAGAGGAACCAUUCUCACCCCAUCUUACAGGUCAAGGAACUGAAGCCAGGGGUCUCGUGCCGAGGCAGAAGCUGUGCUAGCUUUGCAAGCUGGACCUCUCUGACUGGAGGUCGGGCUCCUGGGCACUCAGAUACUGCGUCUUUUAGGGAAAAGGUCCCUCGGUGCACACUGCCCCGGGGAUGUUGAGUGACGCGGCUGGUCGUUUUGUAGGGCUCACCCCAUUUUGUAGUAUUGCCUGGGGUUUUCCUUGGAUUUUUCUCCCCACUCUAUUCCUUUAAGUAAACAAUGGAAAUAAAUGAGCUUCAGGCUAACGGAGGAAGGGACCAGAGGUUAGCGGCCGGCUGUGAGUGCUGGUCGGAAGUAGUCGGGGCUCACAGAGCACAGCUCAUUCACAGCUGUCCCAGGUGUUCUAGCUCAGGGCUCACGGAGCACAGCUCAUUCACAGCUGUCCUGGGUGUUGUAGCUCGGGGCUCACGGAGCACAGCUCAUUCACAGCUGUCCUGGGUGUUGUAGCUCAGGGCUCACAGAGCACAGCUCAUUCACAGCUGUCCCGGGUGUUCUAGCUCAGGGCUCACAGAGCACAGCUCAUUCACAGCUGUCCCGGGUGUUCUAGCUCAGGGCUCACAGAGCACAGCUCAUUCACAGCUGUCCCGGGUGUUCUAGCUCAGGGCUCACGGAGCACAGCUCAUUCACAGCUGUCCCGGGUGUUCUAGCUCGGGGCUCACAGAGCACAGCUCAUUCACAGCUGUCCCGGGUGUUCUAGCUCAGGGCUCACGGAGCACAGCUCAUUCACAGCUGUCCGGGGUGUUCUAGCUCAGGGCUCACGGAGCACAGCUCAUUCACAGCUGUCCCGGGUGUUCUAGCUCAGGGCUCACGGAGCACAGCUCAUUCACAGCUGUCCGGGGUGUUCUAGCUCAGGGCUCACGGAGCACAGCUCAUUCACAGCUGUCCUGGGUGUUGUAGCUCAGGGCUCACGGAGCACAGCUCAUUCACAGCUGUCCCGGGUGUCUAGCUCGGGGCUCAUGGAGCACAGCUCAUUCACAGCUGUCCCGGGUGUUCUAGCUCGGGGCUCACGGAGCACAGCUCAUUCACAGCUGUCCCGGGUGUUCUAGCUCAGGGCUCACGGAGCACAGCUCACUCACAGCUCUCUCCUAUGCUUUCUUAGUUUUCAUUCUCAUAUACACAUAGUGGAUAUGAACUGCUUCUGAGCUUGAUUAACAUAGUUGUUAAUAUACUUUACAUUCAGAUAACCUUGGAUUUCACUUAUUAUGACUUUAUCAAAAUUUCUACUCUUUUGAUUUUGUCCUUAAAAUUGUAUUUGGAACAAAUGCUUUUUGAGCUAAAUUAAUUUUUUAAUGUAAAAUGAAAAUAGGAUUAGUUUUUUACUUAUAGAACAACCUUUAAUUUUCUUUAAUUUUUUUUUCUUUGCAAGGCAGAGAUGCACAGAGAGAGCUGCCUUCCUCUGCUUCACUCCCCAGUGCCUGUAAUGACCAGGAGUUGGGCCAGGCACAGGCCAGCUGUGAGGACCUCACUCCGGUCUCCCGUGGGGUGAAAGGAUAGGAACUCUGGUCACUGUUGCCUUCUAGGAGCUGCACUAGCAGGAAGGUGGAAUCUGGAGCUGGGAGUGAUCAGCAAACCCAGCUCUCCGGUGUGGGAUGCAGCCAUCUUAACCACUGACCAGACACCCACCCUGCAUAUUGGGAAUUUAUAAUAGCUCUGUAUUGGCAUUGUGUACUCUUUAGUGAUAGAUCUGAAUUGAACAUGUCAGUUUAAAAAGUGUUAAGUGUUAGGGCCGGCAUUUAUGGUACAGCGGGUUAAGCCACUGCCUGCGACACCAGCAUCCCAUUUGGGCGCCAGUUCAACUCCUGGCUGCUGCACUUCUAAUCCAGCUCCCUGCUAAUGCGCUUGGGAAAGCAGCAGCAGAUGGCCUAAGUACUUGGGUCCCGGCCACCCAUGUGGGAGAUACAGGUGAAACUCCUGGCUUUGGCUUGGCUGUUGGGGCCAUCUAGGAAGGGAACGAGCAGAUAGAAGAUCUCUCCUCUGUGUCUCUUUCUCUGUAACUCUGCCUUUAAACAGAUAAAUAAAUCCUUUUAAGCAGUGUUGAUAUUCUGAUAUAUGAGGAGAUUGAAAAUAUUCAUGGAAAAUGAAUAUUAUAAAAAUUAUGCAUACAUUUCAGGGUUUGUGUGUGUGUGUGUGUGUGUG